AAAGCCAAAAAGUGCACGAAACCUGCGAUGUAUCUGUUCUGCACUCAAUUGAGACCAAUUCACAUUAGUAAUGGCUGUUGUUAUUUUGGGUGCUAUAUGAAAAAAAUUCUAAACGGCUUGAGAAAUUAUUUAAAGUAUUAACAAGCAAGUUAGCUCCUUCCUGUGCAAGUUGAGCAUGAAGUUCCGGCAUAAGAAUAUCCGCUCUAAUUGUUACUUCACGUUGUGCCAACACCUUAUGAAAAAAGUUUGCGACUUAGAAAUUUGCGUCAGCUGUAUUAACAACUAUGAAAAACUUACAUCUCCGACAUCAAAAUGUUUCGGUUCUAUUUUCAUAAUAGAUACUCCAGUCUGCGCAUCUGCUUGCAUUAUAGCAUAGAUAAUGGGCGCAGCACCACGCCAACGAGUCUUAAGUCUACUGGAAAACAAAACAAAGCUACAAAGAAAUAUUCACAUUUAUAAAUAAUUUUUUAAUCACUUACUUUGGAAAAGAUUUAAUAAUCCUCUCUGGUAUUAAAUGACCAAAUGAUACUACAACACCUAAAUCAUAUCCUUGACAAACUUCCGGAAGUACCGGCCAUCGAUGAAGUGUCAGCUGCUUCUGUUCUGCGUAGGUACGAACACAAUUUGCAGGAUUUUUAAAAGACGUAACUACGCCAAGUGCGUUGUUCUCUGUUCUAGCAUAACUAAUAAAAAAAUUUUAUAUUGCAA